GACGAACGCUGGCGGCGUGCUUAACACAUGCAAGUCGAACGAUGAAGCCGGAGCUUGCUCUGGUGCAUUAGUGGCGAACGGGUGAGUAACACGUGAGUAACCUGCCCUUGACUCUGGGAUAACUGCGGGAAACUGUAGCUAAUACCGGAUACGACCCUCGGAGGCAUCUCCUGGGGGUGGAAAGAAUUUCGGUCAAGGAUGGACUCGAGGCCUAUCAGCUAGUGGGCGAGGUAAAGGGUCACCAAGGCGACGACGGGUAGCCGGCCUGAGAGGGUGACCGGCCACGCUGGGACUGAGACACGGCCCAGACUCCUACGGGAGGCAGCAGUGGGGAAUAUUGCACAAUGGGCGCAAGCCUGAUGCAGCAACGCCGCGUGAGGGAUGACGGCCUUCGGGUUGUAAACCUCUUUUAGCAGGGAAGAAGCGAAAGUGACGGUACCUGCAGAAAAAGCACCGGCUAACUACGUGCCAGCCGCCGCCGUAA
rnacentral:rRNA from 1 species